rnacentral:lncRNA from 1 species
GGCGGGGACUGCUGGCCACCACCGUUCUGACUCCCGCCGUCGGGGCGGGAGCUCGCUCGGUCCAAGGUCCCAGAGCCGGAUCGCCGCCCUUGGACUUUGAGCGGGCGCGUGCGGCGGCCACGUGGGCGAGGAGCGCGGGCCGGGCUGCCUCUCGGGGGUGGCGGCCUUGGUUCCUCCCGCGGGGCUGGGCUUGCCGGGGCCCGGAGCCCGCCGGGAAGAGUUCGGAAAUCACACGUGUCCUUUUUCCCGCUCUGUGCCCUCCUUGUUUAGUGCGUUGCCGGUGGGCGCUUUAGGAAAUUGGUAGGAGGAAAAGCGGCUUCUUUUGAAAAGGUAACCCUUAACAGAGAUGAAAGUGAAAGCCAGGUUUCAUUGGGAAGCCGAUCUGCACCUACCGAGGGCUGUAACUUAAAGCCGCUGUAAACGUGGUAGCUGAUCCUUGUAUGCAAAGGUUUAGGCCCUAAGCUUAGAAACUGUUCCUUGCUUGCCUUCUACCCCGCUCCUCUUUUUCUAGAAUUCUCUUAGGAAUCUCUGGCUUCAUUGAGGACACAGGUGUAAGCAGAAGCUGUGUUCUCAGCUCCAAGAGGCCGACCCCACGAAAGCCUAAGCAGGUGAAUUUCGUAAAGACGUUGACAGUUGGAAAACCUGUGCUUUCAGCACGUGAUAAAUCUGCAGAGUCAGCAGACAAUGAAGAUUUGGCAUUCAAGAACUCCUCAAAUACUUCUCGAUAGUAGCUAUUCAGAGCCUGCCUUGAUAGACCGAACUUGCUCAUAUUUAAAUCAUUAAGAUAGAGGAAAGAAUGUAACAACUUUUUAAAAUGUUUCUUACCCCAUAAAUACUUGAAGAAGAUAUGUUAUAUUGGACCAUGGAUCUUUCUGGGGGGGAGGGGAGAAGAAAGCAAAAGUAAAGUUUAAAUUUACAUUCAACCUUAAUUUGAUUGUAUAUAUUUGUGACCAAAUGAAUUAGUGCACAGUUGACCAUACAACUGAUUAUGCAACAGUGAGUGUAACUGACUUUUCUUUUGGCUAAGCUAAUGAUGACUAAAGAAGGUCCUUCUGUUGCUCUGUCUUCAAGUCAUCAGGGGGUCAUACUACCUAUAUUUUUGAACCAAUAUGAAAUAACCCUUUUUCUUUAUUUUUCUGAGACAAUCUCACCCUGUCGUCCAGGCUGGAGUGCAGCGGUGUAAUCAUGCCUCACUGCAGCCUUGAUCUCCUGGGCUCAAGCCAUCCUCCCACCUCAGUCUCCCCAGUAGCAGGGACAAGAGGUACAGGC